UCCCGUGUGGCUCAGUUGGUAGAGCAUGGUGUUUGCAAUGCCAGGGUUGUGGGUUCGUUUCCCAUAGGGGAC
rnacentral:tRNA from 1 species